GGCGAUUGCGGAGCGCGACGGAGAUGUAUGCCCGGAAGGCUCUGCGCGGCCGCGACGACGUGUGGCCAUGCUCGUGGGU
rnacentral:ribozyme from 1 species